CCUACGGGUGGCAGCAGUGGGGAAUAUUGCACACUGGGGGAAACACUGAUGCAGCGCCGCCGCGUGAGUGAAGAAGUAAUUGGGUAUGUAAAGCUCUAUCAGCAGGGAAGCAAAUGACGGUACCUGAGUAAGACGCCCCGGCUAACUAGGUGACAGCUGCCGCGGGUAUACGUAGGGGGCAAGCGUUAUCCGGAUUUACUGGGUGUAAAGGGAGCGUAGACGGCAGUGCAAGUCUGGAGUGAAAGGCGGGGGCUCAACCCCCGGACUGCUCGGGAUACUGUACGGCUGGAGUGCAUGAGAGGUAAGUGGAAGUCCUAGUGUAGCGGUGAAAUGCGUAGAUAUUAGGAGGAACACCAGUGGCGAAGGCGGCUUACUGGACUGUAACUGACGUUGAGGCUCGAAAGCGUGGGGAGCAAACAGGAUUAGAUACCCCUGUAGUC
rnacentral:rRNA from 1 species